rnacentral:rRNA from 1 species
CUACGGGUUGCUGCAGUGGGGGAUAUUGCACAAUGGGCGAAAGCCUGAUGCAGCAACGCCGCGUGAAGGAAGACGGUUUUCGGAUUGUAAACUUCUAUCAGCAGGGAAGAAAAUGACGGUACCUGACUAAGAAGCCCCGGCUAACUACGUGCCAGCAGCCGCGGUAAUACGUAGGGGGCAAGCGUUAUCCGGAAUUACUGGGUGUAAAGGGUACGUAGGCGGCUGAUCAAGUCAGAUGUGAAAGCCCGGGGCUCAACCCCGGGACUGCAUUUGAAACUGGUCGGCUAGAGUGCAGGAGAGGAAAGUGGAAUUCCUAGUGUAGCGGUGAAAUGCGUAGAUAUUAGGAAGAACACCAGUGGCGAAGGCGGCUUUCUGGACUGUAACUGACGCUGAGGUACGAAAGCGUGGGGAGCGAACAGGAUUAGAUACCCCCGUAGUC